rnacentral:rRNA from 1 species
CGACCCCAGGUCAGGCGGGGUUACCCACUGAAUUUAAGCA